rnacentral:rRNA from 1 species
UACGAAGGGGGCUAGCGUUGUUCGGAAUUACUGGGCGUAAAGCGUAUGCAGGCGGAUCUCUAAGUCGGGGGUGAAACUCCUGAGGCUCAACCUCAGAACUGCCUUCGAUACUGGAGAUCUUGAGUCCGGGAGAGGUGAGUGGAACUGCGAGUGUAGAGGUGAAAUUCGUAGAUAUUCGCAAGAACACCAGUGGCGAAGGCGGCUCACUGGCCCGGUACUGACGCCGUGAGAAUACGAAAGCGUGGGGGAGCAAAAC